AGGGCACUAUCCACAGAAAAUAAAAAGGAUGAAGCUGAAUGACUGAAGGAGAGGGGAAUGAUUGGAGAUGCUGUUUUCAUCAUCCUGAGACAUAUGGAGUUUGCUAAUCAUGUUUACGGAUAAAUAAGUUUCUAUAACCAGAAAGCGAGAAUAGCACAGACAUUAAAAGGGCCACAAUUUCUCAGGAGUAACACAUUUUUGCACACUUUCUGCAUAAUGUUUUAUUUCAGCCUCAGUCGUCAUGACCACAGACCGCUGGCUGAAUGUCUGAUGCAGAUCCUGUCUCAUCCUUGAA